UUUAGUAUAGUAAUAUUAUGAUUUACAAAGAGUCAAAACUUUGUUUUUGUAAGGCUCUGGUCUCUUCAAAGAUGGAAUAUGGAGGACAUCUGCUUCACUUACAUAAAUGCUUAAAUGUAAAAAAAAAACAAAACAACUUC